rnacentral:sRNA from 1 species
CGACCCAAAGGAGGUCCCUACAAACUAGUGCAAGAACAAUCCGUGGUGAUCACUGCCCUCCCAGGCAAGUGAGGAAUGGGGCAGUAACGUUUGAUGAGGGCCUACUGUGUGCUAGGUGUUUUGCACACAUUAUUUGUUUAGGCUUCAUAACAGCCCUACAAGAAAGAGAUGGAAAACUUCGAAGCCCCUUUCCACUGCCUGGCCAAGCAGUUCCACCAGCUGUACCAGGAGAAGGUGGAGGUUUUCCGGGCGCUGGCAUGAAAAGCUGGAGCAGAUCGUGCCGCACAACUGGAGGAGACAGAAUUACCUCUGCACUUUUAAUAUAUAAUGAUGGCUUUAAAUAAAAUUAGGAGAAAAUGUC